UUUGCCAUCCUAUAUAUUUUCUGACCACAGCUGCUGUCCAGAAGUGUUUAGGAUAUAUUUUUUCCCCUUCUCAGUAAAUGAUGAAAUAAAACUACGUAGAGCUGUUUACAUUGUGACUAAGGAAGUUAAGGUUGAUGGAGGUGAUAGUGACUGACACUUAUCCAAUUUCAGGCUUUCCAAAACGUCUGUGGCUCUUAUCAUGAUUUAGUCUCUACCAGACCUUGUAGACAUUAAACAGCAAGAAUGAGCACUAUUCUCACUCGGAAAAAGAAACAUUAUAUAGUGGAUGCUGGAACACUACCAUGAUGUGCUGUGAGAUCUUACCAUCUGCUAUUCCAUUAGGGGAUUUCUGGAAGCUAAAUAAGAAAAAAGGGAUUUUACUGGGAGCUUUUUUACAAUUUGAAAGGUGAGAUAUAGAGAAAGAAAACCCCUUGCAUAAGGAAGCAACAUGGUAAAAUUAAAAGUAGGACUUGUCUCUUAAUAUCUCUAAAUUACUAGACAAUUUGAAACCCACAUUUCACUGCCUGACUUUUUGCUUUGAGAAGUCAACCCAGAAUUGCAAACACAGCCAUUCUCAAACCUUGGGAAAUUUCACAUCCUGAUCUGAGUUUUGCAACGUGCUCCCAUUUCUGAUUAAUGCAUACCAAUGCUACUUUGUUAUAAAGUCAAAUCAAUGCCAAAUGUGGUGGUGAUUUUUUGAUAGGGAAUAAGCAACAUCCACCAAUAUAUUUAACACAGGUCAGUAGACAGCCUACAGUCAUGACAGUCUUGAACUAGUGACCUAGAAAUGAAAGACUCCUUAAUCCCUUUACCAAAUCCUAAACCACUCAAUUCCUGCCCCACCUCAGCAACCAAAGUCUUUUAUAGAUGUGCUGGAGGGUAAUAUGUAAGCCAGCAGAGUGUAAAUUAAAGAGGAAAAAAAGGCUCUACUUACAAUAACAUCGUAAUUGUGGAAUUUGAGAAAAUAAGGGACUCAGGAGAGGUCUUCAGUUAGCUUGUCUUAAAUUCAGUGCAAAUUUAUUCUGAGAAUAUUUUGGCACCUGCAAACAGCCCAAAACUUUUAUAAGCAUCAUAGCAGGGGAAAAGUGAUGCAAGUGAAAGACUGCAGAUAGACUCAGAAAAAGGUCUUGAUUGUUCAUCUGACCUGUUGGCUUCCUCUGUUGCUACAUGAGUUUAUUUUUAUGACUGCCUAACUCCACUGAUUACUGCGAUGACAUUACGAUGUCGCACUGGCAUACAACUGGAGUGGUUAAUCAGAUCCCUUAUUUUAGCUCUUCAGGGAUAAAACUCAUGCCUUAGAAAGAAGAACAGCAGCCACAGCCCAUUCAUCUCUUAAAUCCCAUUUUGUUCAAUCUGAUAUUGCUUGAAUCUCCAUCUUUUUCCCUGGGAUUGCUAUAUGAAGAGGUUCUCUUCUGUGAUUUCUUAGCCCUUCUCGCAGGACCUGACAAAAUGUACCAUGAGAAAACUGUUCAUUUCGGAAGCUGUUUCCUAUAACAUAACGGAACCUUAAAAAAGGAGUGGGUUUGAAUUCUAAUUGAAUUCAAAGCUACACAGCACAGAGCAACAACAGCAAAUUCUGUGCCUGUACAGUUGGAAUUUUGCUGCCAAAUGUGGUUAAACAGUUUUUCACUUUUCCCCAAAACAUGAACAUUGUCUAAGUAGAAAAGUAUUUCCAUUUGUAGAAGGGACUUUUUUCAUUUUGUACAUCUGCAGGCAUAAAAGGACCAUAAUAGACCACAAAUUAGAUCCGGGAACUGAAACAAGCUCAGCUUGUAACUGAGACCACAGGUCUGUAAAAAAACUAUAGCAUCAUUUUUGGGUGAGCUUUUUUUUUUUUUUUUUUUCUUUUUCCUUGUUUGUUUGUGUUUUUUUUUUUUCUUUUUUUUUUUUUUUUCUUUUAUGGCAAAGCAAAUGAAAACUCAUUUUAUAUUCAAAUAUGACACCAUCUGUUCCCUGAGUUAGAGAAACUGGGUGAACUGAUCCAAUAUACAUUGAGCUAGAAGGAGGGGAACAAAUGCAGAAAAAUCUCUCUUUCUCUCAUCUCUCUCCUGUUUUGUGUCCCACUGUUCCAUGACUUGACCACAAAGGACUUGCAGAUGGCACGACUGUUUUUUUUUUCUCUGUUUGAUCUGGUCCCUCUAUUCUUCUGGACUAGAAUUUUCUCUUCUUUAGCAUGAUCUGUUCUCUGUCUCCUCUUCCCUCCAAGAGUCUCUCCUAAUACUUUUCCCUAUGUGUGUCUGUGUGGGUGUAGGCGUGUGCAUGUGUACACAUGGAGACCACAUCUUGCAGAACCUCUUACCAGAGCCCUGUGGCACUUAGUCUUAGGGUGGUGACAGUGCUGCUGGGCACAAAGGAGACAAAGCAGAGGUGGUUUGUCAUUGGUGAUUCUUGCCUCAGUGCGGUUUUGGUUUAACUCUUCCACUUCUUCACCUGUUCACCUGUACAUCCCCUGUAGUGGAGGAAGCUACCUUAUAGGAACAGCCUGGACCAGCACAGUGGUCCUUAGGACAGCAUCCUUAGGAGCUGGUAGCCCUACAGACAGCUUCUAGAUUAGUCCCAUGAAAAUCCCUUUUAUUUUUGACCACAACUAUUUGGAACCAGGAACAGAGUAAAAUAUCUCUUGCAGUCAUCUGAAAUAUUAGGAGAUCAUGGAACAUACAAGUAACAGAAAGGAACUAAGUGAAAAGCUUAACUAAAAGCCCGCUGUGCACAGAAUUCUUUGGAAAUGUGAAAAAAAUCUCUUAUAAAAUUUUUAAACUCAUCAAUUUAAACAAAAUUACAUAAAGUUUCUGCAACAACCAGUACCACCACCCCCCCUCCAAAAAAAAACCCACAAGAAGAGUCCCAAAGCUAGGCCAAGCCUGACAAUAGCUGGUUGUGAGGCAUGUGUUAAACAGUUUUCAGUUAGCAUGGGCAAAAGAAAUCAACUACGAAACUGUGUUUAGGAAAUAUGAGAGUACUGUAAUCUGCAUAAAAAUAAAUUUGGGUAUAUUCCCAACACACAAUUGCACUGUGGAAUUGAAGGAAGUGGGCUAAUGGGAGGGAAGCUUUGCUUUCCCUGAAGAAAACCUGCCCAGGAUUACUUUUUUACAAAAGUAAAACUACUUUCAUAUUCUUUUUUAUAUUGCUGUCCUGUGUUUGGAACUGAGUGAAGAGCUUAUAUUAAAUAAUUUCCUCAGUGAAAUGAACCUUAUAUUAUUAUUAUUGCUCAACAACUGUCAAUAACAUUCUGGGGUUUCCUGCAUAUGCUUCUUGUUUCUAAUGUGCAUAUUCCUCUAAGGAUUGAUCUGGGUUUGGGUCAAGUCUUUGAAACCACUGUGUGGUGUUGGAGCCACAUCUAUUUUUGUGACAGGCUGCUUUGCUUUUCACCUCUUCCAUGUCCCAGUCAAAAGGGACAUGCUGCUGGGGACCCUAGAAGUUGAGCAAAUCCAAAAAUAUGGGCUGCUGAGGUGGGCUGUGGAGGAGGCAAUACAGAGAGGAGAAGCUUUGGAAGCUCUCUCCUCACCUUAGACCAGCACCAAGGAGGCCCUUUGUCCCCCUCCAGUGUUGUCCCCCGGCUGGAAGGCAGCAGGCUGCUACAACCGACCACAACACAGGCUUUCCAGUGCGCAGGAAACAGGCUGGACACAGCAUAGGCAAAGCCAGUCCCAGGAAAGAAAGUCCUACUGGAUCAUCUGAAGAUUUUAUAGUAUGCCAAAAUACCCCCGGAGGGCUGAUGAGGCUUGGGAAAAUUCAUUUCUACUUUGGAACAAAGAUUUCAAAUUCGAACUACCAGAAAAUGAACUGGGGAUUGCAGCCAUCCAAGUUAGGCUUCUCUCCAGUAACCAGGAGAUUGGAUGAAGGGCUUUCAAAUAAGGUCUCUCUUCCUUGCCAGUCAUAGAUUUUGUCUUGACUAAGAUCUGAAGGUAUUGUUGGAACAUGCAAGCUCACACUUUUUGAUUAAAAGCUUUGAGGUGAAGCCUUAGUUCCAUUUAAAGUUAAUGGCAAAAUUCUCACUGACUUUUCUGGAACCAGGAUGCAAUGUCUUUGUGUGAAGAAAAGCAUGCUUCUUACUUGUCCUCGCAAGAUAGACUUUUAAAUCAAGACUGUGCUUUACUGAAUACAUCAGCAGCCACACUAAUGUGUAUUUUCAAAAUUUCAGCUCCAUUCAAGGCAUGCUGGUCACAUCCUUUCUCCAACCUCCUACCCUAAUACACAAGUACA